UCUCUUCCUUACCACCACCUUGCAGGCGUCUUAUCUUGCCCUCUUCGGGGCGACACCACGUGUCGACACCAUCCAUGUAGACGGCGGUGAAUUUGCUUUCUGAUCUUUUUUUUUGCGUUUCAGCUCGUCUGUGGUUUGUGAUACCCUAUCGUCACAUGAUGCACCACUUCUGGUGGUGGCAGGCCCGAUUUCCUGCGAGCUGAGGUGGCCAGAGCGAUGUAUCGCCACUGAUGUCGGCGUGCAGGCCCUGGGCGGCGUUGCAUGAGAGCAGUCGGCGACAAAUGCACAACGCCUGUGCCAUCCAUGUUAUCGGCAAAGUGCCGGCGCGACUCGAGCGCAUCUCUCACCCGGCGCUCACAUUGCCCUACGGCUGUAAGGGAGCCUGAGGCACCCCGAGGGGUGUGCGCCAGACGGGCCUCUGGCAUGAUGGUAGCGGCUGCGAGGUGACCCCGUAGGGCGGGCAGCGUUUGAGAGGCAGAGGCCGUGCUCCUCAUGACGGAUGGGGCGCAUUGCUGUAAGGUGCGCGUCUAGGGCUGCUUUGCACGACAGGAUUGAGGCCUGUGGCUGGCCGGGGGCUGGCGUGGCGUUCGACCUCACACACUGCAUGGCAGAGAACCGGGGCACGGCGUGCGAAGAGAAAGAGCCAGUUGCCAUACUUUUGUGCUUCGACUUGGUGCAGGACGAGAUUCCAGCGAUGGCGGAUUAUUUUGGUUUAUUUUCGUUUUGAACGGUGACGCGAGCCAGGGCCCGGGAAAAAAGGGUCGAGGAAGGGCAUGAGGAGGCCGUUAGACGUGUGGGUCGGAUUCAACGGCAGACAGCUCGUCUUGGAUGGCGAGGACUUAGCUUCGGUACCAGAGGGGUGGCCCAACUCUGCCCGCAUGCACACACUUGCUGGCUUGCUCGUGAUGGAAGGACAUGCUGCCAAAAUACGACGAAAAGAGAUUUUUCAAAGCCAACGUAUAGACAAGGAAGCUAUUUUCCCUGUCAUGUGUGCUAUCCCACCAUCUCCUCGCCAGUCCUCCCCUUCCUUUUCAGCUGUUACUCGAGUUUGUACGUGAAGGUCGACAGUGUGGCGGUAAGAGAGUGGCAAGCAAAAGAAAAAGCGUGAUGAGAAAAAAAAGCGUUUCUUUGCUGUUUGAUAUACGUCCCUCAUUUUCGGUGGCAGGCUUCUUAGGCGGCGAUGGUGGAAUGGAGGUAUAUAUAUAUAUAGAUGUGCUUGUGUAAAACGACGCCGCACAGUUGCAUUGUUGCACGGUAUCGUUGCCAUCAAGGUUCGUCUCCCCCCCUCCCCUUUCUUCACACCUUGCCGUCCCUCUUGUUCGUUUCUCCUGCUCGCCCCUUCUCUUAUGUGCUCCUUUUUUGUUGCUUUUUUGUGUUUUUCCCUCCCACGAGAUGAGCGCGUCAAGCAAGUGACCUCAUCACACAUAUGCAUGCGGCUGCUUUCCCCUAACACACGAAGAAAUAUGUGUGGUUUGGAUGUGUCGGUGCUGAGAUGGCCGUCUCAAAACAAACGGAAAUGAUCCUGUGCUUCUCUGUGUACUGGCGUGAGGAUGUUCUUACUUUUUUCAGCUCUUCGUCUUUUUACAUUCUGGCUGAUGGCCACUAGUAGCUGCUUUGAGCGUGGGUGCGCAUACAUUUGUGAGUGUGUGCGUGCUCGCCGGGACCGUUCGCCGCUUCUUUGGGUAAC
rnacentral:misc_RNA from 1 species